GGGAAGACGUAGUUAGAUGGCGAAUGGAAAACAUCAGGCCCUGGGCCUCAUGCUUAAGUGGUCAAUAUUUGGAGCGCUGUGAUUAUGAACCUUAUAUAUUACCUGGAAAAAGAAGACGGAGUCUCACUCUGCUGCCCAGGCUGGAGUGCAGUGGCACUAUCUCCGCCUCCAGGGUACAAGCAAUUCUCCUGCCUCAGCCUCCAGGGUGUACCAGAAGUAACCAGUGGAAGGGGAAUCCUCUAGGGGGAAUUUAAACUCCCAAAAAUUCUGUAACAGGGCUUUUGAACCCAUAUGCUUGGGCCCGCUCCCACACUGUUUAGUGUAUGUUCGUUUUCAAUAAAUCCCUUCAUUCCUUCCUUGC
ensembl:lncRNA novel transcript